GGGGAAUGAACACUUCACGAGUACAAUGCUGAAGACGUGGAAAUCUUGUUGGACAGAUGGUGUACUCGUCAGAAUAAGGACUAUGCGGCAAAAAUGAAGGCCCUGCGCGCAUUAAAUAAUGAACCCCAUUGCACCGGAUCGAAGAGUUAUGCCAGAGUGACACAGGAUGAGGCCAUACGUCUAGGCAAGUAUCCUACUCAUGCAGAGAGUUACAUCCACACGCACACGAAGGCGGACAAUACAUAUCCGAAUCAGAU